rnacentral:pre_miRNA from 1 species
UAUCUACUCCCUCCGUUCGGAAUUACUUAUCGUGGAAAUGGAUGUAUCUAGACGUAUUUUAGUUCUAGAUACAUCCAUUUUCGAGACAAGUAAUUCCGAACGGAGGGAGUAUAAC